ensembl:lncRNA
AUGUAGGAGGGCAAAGCAUUCCUCAACCCCUUUUCUUUUUCUCUCCUCCCCUCUCGUCGUUUCAUAUCUUUUCAGAGGUGAACUCACUCCUUCUGCACCAUCUGUGUCAUGCAGCACAUAAGCACUGAGCUGUCCUGGCUGGAUACUGGAUGCUUCCGCCGUGUUGGAUGUGUUCUUGGAUGACACAACCUCGUCACAAAACAUCUGCUCAGGUGCCAAAGGAAUUCUCAUCCACACGUAGCUUCAUUUCAGCAGCUUCACAUUAGCGAGCCACCGUUGCACUCACUGUGAAAGACUUGAAAACUGGUUCCCUCGUGAUGCAUGAAGGUCCGGUAGCUGCACUGCCUGUUCAGCAGCAGCCCAACAGGCAUACUUACCCCCAGGCUGUGGGUGACCUACAAGGUCAAGUUCCCUUCCUGUCUCAAAGCUCCAGCAGCAAACUGAGAACCAUGUCUGAACCUGUCCCUGUGCUGUGCUGUGCCCCUGAUCCUGUGGACAGUCAUGCUCAAAGAUGGAAGGAGAUGAAGAUGGACAUCGCCUCCCCCUGUAAUGACUCACAGCAGAGCGGACACUGUGAGCGCAGCCAGAGCUCAGACGUGGCUCCUGGAACAGGUCUGGACUUGGAGCUGUCAGACGUGGACAGUGGGGCUGCAGUGGAUUUGAAAAACUGUGGAGACAUAUCAACUCAGCAGCAAGAAGGGAGCCCUGUAGAUACCUCAUUAUCUGAUCCUGCUUCCUCACCAGCCCUGGAUAAGAGGAGUCACAAACAGCUUCCAGCAUCAGUGAAUGAUUCAGAAGAGUGUUCAGUUGAUCUGCUUCGGAUAGUGAAGCACAAACCGAGUGCCAUUGUGUUUCGUGACCAUAAAUGUAGCUCUGACAACCAGGUGACCGUUGCCAAUGACAGCUCCGACAGCGGGGGCUCCUCCUCAUCCAACACCAAAGAGGUAGAGAGCGAUGAUGGCGAUGAGGAAGACGACUUUCCCGAUGCCCUGCAGUAUAAGGAAUUCCUGGUCAGCCGUCGGCGCAGACACUUGAGCAGGAACAGGAAGUGCUCGAGGAAGAGGCAGGAUGCCCAGCCUAAUGGCACCGUGGCGAGGCCCGACAGCGAGAGCAAACCUGAGUUCACAGGUAGCCAGGAGGAACAGGAAAUACCGCAGAACAAUGGAGCACAGGGCUACAAAAGAUGACGAUGAGGUAUGACUUUCCUGUUCCUGGCUAGUAGCAGUAACAGCAGAAUGACUCCCCGCCUGGCAUCUUUGCCUCCCAGCAUGCACUGCACCAGCGGGCAUCCAUUAGUGUGAUAGUGCCCCGGACCGUGUUCUCACACCUGUCAGAGCGGCCCUUCAGCUGCUGGCACGUUCCCAUCACAGUCCUCUGGCGUGCUGCACACUGUUCCCUCCUCUUGGACUGAAAUGAAAGGACUUAUUCUUUUGUGAUGUCUUUCUCAGAGUUUGACCAAGUAGCUUUUAGAGUCACUUAUUGACAGGCAUCGGACCAGCGCUCAUUUGAAUACCUGUUAAGUCAAAGAGGCCCCAUUGUGGUUCCAC